UGCUGCCGUGAUAUUCACGACUCGUCUGAAAUGCCUGAGUGUACCCCGCUUUGCGGCGUAUUCGGUGUGAUACAUCUUCACCGGAGUUGAUCCUUUCGGGUCGCGUCUGUAAUGGUGUGGCUCUAUGCUUCGAACCGUCUCCAAGAGACAACCUCUGACAAUUUGACCUCAAAUCGGGUGGGACUACCCGCUGAACUUAA
rnacentral:misc_RNA from 1 species